CUGAGCAAGCGCCCGCCAGCAUUGCUUUGCAGCAGCGACUUCUCCAAAGUGCCCUGUGUGCGUGCUGGCACGCAGGCUGCUUUCUGCCGCCCGAGCCCCGCGCUGGCUGCCCCGAGCCUCUGCCCCCGGCACAUGGCUCUCCCCGGGAGGCCUGCUGCGGCUGCCCCCAGCACACAGCCUCCAAGGCGGUCCCUGCUCUUCCUCCCAGCAGAUGUGGUUCCACCUUCCUGCUCAAGCASCGGGUGCCUCUCAGCRACCUCUGGGUGCUGUGCRRGAARGACGAGRCGGCGUGCGGCUGYGAAGAUGAGGAGGACGUUUUUGGCCUCAAAUGCGCCAAUUCCCUCGUCCUGGUCUGGACCACCAAGGUCUGCGUGGUCACCUUCCGGUCGCAGGAGGUGAAGGAGCAGUGGCUGAACACCAUGCUCAGGCAGAGCCCAGGAGCCCCGGGUCAGCCGCCUGCCCUGCCUUCGGCUCCUCAUCAAGKCCGUCGGCUUCGACGCUCCCGUAAGUGUCCCGGGGGUUUCCGCUGCGCCCCAAGUGCCACGGGGCUUUGGGGAAGGGCCCCCGCCACCAGCUGCUCACRUGGCUUCUCUGCUCUCUUGCCUAGUCGGGGUCACCGACUGCCCGCAGCAUGGAGGCCUUGACUGCGGCCAAGGAGUGUGACGACCUCGGCUCUUCCCUGCAGCUGCUCACAGCUCUCUGCGUGCCUGAAGCAGCUCCGGAGGCACCCGAGCACAYGGGCAGCUCYGCAGGUAGGACGAUGCACUGAGCAUUGGCACCGAGCAGGGCUGCUGGUGCCAGUUGUGUAGCUGGAGAUCGCAAGGCGCCUGUGGCCAUGCCGAGGGGGGCAGAGGGCUCGAGACCUUCUGGCAGUGCUUUCCUCCUGCCACACUUCCCAGAAGUUCAGAAUGACAAUACUCACUCCACAAAAGGCAUCGCACGUGUUGAACCUCUGUAGCCCUCUGCUCUUCACAGCGCUGCUCACUAGGGACUGCAGCUGCACUCCCCGGGCAGGAUACUGCCCCCGCGGGGACUUGKSUCUCCUCCUGAACUGCUCCUCACCUCCAUAGCUGCUAAGGGUGCCCCUUGCCAUGUGCCACGUGCGGGGCUGCGUGCUCCCACCGGAAAAGUCCCCUUUUGCCCCUUCAGAGGCCCAGGAAAAAGGAGCUGACAGCCUCUUUCUCCCCACAGCACACCCAGGUGCUGCUCUGGAGGAYKCCUCUGCCCUCCWCAGCCCAGAGGCUGAAGCUGCCUGCGGCCCCCCAACCGCUGAGACGCAGCAGCCCAGAGGGAAAAGCCCCAGCGGGAGGCGCAGAAAUGCCUCGUGCGUCUCUGCUCCUCCACUGCCUGCUCAGAG
rnacentral:lncRNA from 1 species